rnacentral:lncRNA from 1 species
GGAGGCGGUCCGAGUGAGUACGAGACGCCUCUGUUCCUCGGCACAGUGUGAGAGAGAGAGAGAGACAGCAGUAGGAGCGGCAGAGAAAGACAGACAGAGCGAGAGAGAGAGAGAGAGAGAGAGGGAGGGAAGGAUGCAGCCGAGUCUGCCAGCUGAAUCACCAGCCUCCACCUCCACCGCGGCUACAUCACUCUCCAUCCGCCCAUCCGGCGCUCCUGCGGCGUGGAGGAGUGCGUGGGGGACACUCUCAUUCAUCCCCCCCCCUUCGGUCUCACUCCUGUCCUCCCCGUACCCCCACGCCACCGGAGCCCACUCGCUCGUGUGUCACUCGUGGAGGAGAGGGAUCAUGGAAGAGGCACAGCAGGCACAGAAGAAGGGGACGGAGUGGAAGAACGAGGACCACCAGCUGCCACCCGUCCCUCUGACGGGAGACAGAAGACAGAAGAGUCCUGCUGUCUCUGCCGGGGACGUCUCUCUCUGGGGUCUGUCGGAGUUCGGGGGCUGGACGGCGGCCGAAAGGACUUCUGAGAAGCACUUUCUCGGUUGAAAAGAGACCCUCUCCCACCCCCUUUUCCAGGAUCCGGUACGCCGGUGGACGGAACACCUGGCACGGUGCUGCUCCGCUCUCCUUUUCUUUCCUUUGUGUGUUCCCUUUCCUCCGGGGGGGUCGGGAGGGGGGGUGGAGAUGGCGUUUGGUGACGGCCGCGCUCUGGUGACGGGGGGCCGCUCGGCGCCUGUGCGGUCCGGACAUGCCUGACCGCCGGAGGCGCGGACCAGGAAGCACGAACCUGGGCCGGAGGGAGGAGGGGCAGCCGCCCGCCGAGCCGGCACGCCACAUUCUCGGCGCUCAGCGGCCGGGGGAGGAACCCAGAGUUCUGCCAUGGCCCUCAGCCGGCGCCACAGAUAACUCUCACAUUCACACACCGCCGGGAGGACUUUCAGGUGCGCCAUGCCGCAGUUCACCUUCGCCUGCUUCUGUGGCCUCCACGGCCUCUGCCAGUCCAAGGAGAAGAAGAAGAGGACGGAGCAGGAGGAAAUGGAGAAUCGGGGGGACCAGGAAACUGUGGUCUGAUGAAGCUGGGAACGUGCCUGCUCCAUUGCUCAGAGGGUCUGCCCUGAUCCUAGAUCAGGAUAGGCCUCUGGUUGGUAGUACCACAGGGUGGUAGUAGCCUAGUGGGUAACACACUCGCCUAUGAACCAGAAGACCCAGGUUCAAACCCCACCUACUACCAUCGUGUCCCUGAGCAAGACGCUUAACCCUGAGUGUCUCCAGGGGGGGGACUGUCCCUGUCACUACUGAUUAUAAGUCACUCUGGAUAAGGGCGUCUGGUAAAAUGUAAAUGGUUCAUCAUCUUCUGUGUACAAAACGUUUUUUUUAGCUGAAAAGCUGAAUUCAGUGUGAACCUUUAAUUAUUUCUUCAUGACUUGAUGUCUUUUAUAUAUAUAUAUAUAUAUAUAUAUAUACACACACACACACACACACACACACACACACACACUCAUAUAUACACACAUAUAUAAAUACACACUUUCUGAAACCAGAAGCAGGAUAGUUUCUGACUCCAGGGGGGUCCAUGCCGGCUACCCAGACACACGGUUUUGGGGAAACGAGGUGAGCCAGACAUCUCCAUCAAACUGUGACAGGAACAGAAGGGAAGUCAGGUGAAAGCCGCCAAAAUCUGAAGUGUUAUUAUGAAGUGACAGAUGGCCGCCGUCGGCCCUCGCCGCGGUGGCAUUUGCACGGGUCCCGGUGCAUCUCCUCUGGGGUCUUAAUUACCUCUUAAGCAAUCAACAAACAGUCAGGGCCAGGAGGGUCCCCCCAACGUGUGAGCUCAGGCGUCGGUCCCGACGAGGAGCCCGGCCGCGUGACCCCUGCCCUUUUCACAUUUCGCCGCUAGUCCGGCCGCCAAAUGAACACCGGCGUGAUGUUUCCGCCCAGAAUGGUGGCGACAGUAAUUAAGCUGCUGGAGAGGUUUGGCGCUCUGUGACCGGCACCGUGGUCCAGCGGUGUGGGGGCCGCUGCCGACGUGCACGACCCCCGAGGAUGAACGAUUCCCAGCACUCCUCGGCUAAACUGUUUUUAAGUGGUUAUUUAUGCGCCGGGCGGCACAGGCAGAGCCAUUCUGCAUCUCAAAUCAUCCGAAAACCCCAAAAGAAAUAAAUCACGUUUGUCCGUUUUUUUUCCCCUUCA